rnacentral:rRNA from 1 species
GUUCUCCCCGAAAUAGCUUUAGGGCUAGCCUCAGGGAAAAGAUUGCAGGCGGUAGAGCACUGAUCAGGAGAGGGACCUACCCGGUUACCAAACCCAGUCAAACUCCGAAUGGCUGCAAUCAUACCUGGGAGUCAGACUGCGACUAAUAAGGGCCGCAGUCAAAAGGGAAACAGCCCAGACCAUCAGCUAAGGUCCCCAAUGCCGUGCUAAGUGGCGAAGGAUGUGGCAUUUCAUAAACAACCAGGAUGUUGGCUCAGAAGCAGCCACCAUUUAAAGAGUGCGUAAUAGCUCACUGGUCGAGAGACGCUGCGCCGAAAAUGUCCGGGGCUCAAGCACGGAACCGAAGCUAUGGCAUGAUAGCAAUAUCAUGGGUAGGGGAGCGUUCUUAUAAGGAAGAAGCAUGACCGGAAGGACAUGUGGACAAAUAAGAAGUGAGAAUGCCGGUAUGAGUAUCGAAAAGAAAGGUGAGAAUCCUUUCCACCGAAAGCCCGAGGGUUCCUGAGCAACGAUCGUCGACUCAGGGUAAGUCGGGACCUAAGCCGAGGCGGAAAGCGUAGGCGAUGGACAACAGGUUGAAAUUCCUGUACCGGAUCAAGUCGAUUGAGCGAAGGAGCGACGCAGGAGGGCACAUGAUCGCGCGGCUGGAAGAGCGCGUCCAAGUGCGUAUGUUGCAGCAGAGGAAAACCCCUGCAGCUAAAAGCAGAGACAUGAAGGGGAGUUAAAGGAAACUUUGACGAACUCAUGAAUCCCACACUGCCAAGAAAAACUUCUAGCGAGACAAGAUCCGCCCGUACCGUAAACCGACACAGGUAGGCGGGGAGAGAAUCCUAAGGUGCGCGGGAAAACCCUCGUUAAGGAACUCGGCAAAUUGCAUCCGUAACCUAGGGAGAAGGAUGGCCCCCGGUCAGUGAAGAGCAGAAACGCUCAGAGCUAAAAGGGGCGGCAGAAAAGAGGCCCAAGCAACUGUUUACCAAAAACACAGGUGCCUGCGAAAGCGAAAGCUGAAGUAUAGGUGCUGACGCCUGCCCGGUGCCGGAAGGUUAAGGAGAGAAGUUAGCGAAAGCGAAGCAUCGAACUGAAGCCCCGGUGAACGGCGGCCGUAACUAUAACGGUCCUAAGGUAGCGAAAUUCCUUGUCGGGUAAG